rnacentral:lncRNA from 1 species
AAACAAGAACACUAAUAAAACUAUCAAUCUUCUCAAUUCUUAAUAACAAUAUACAAAAUUUAGCAAAACAAGAACACUAAUAACACUAUCAAUCUUCUCAUUUCUUGAUAACAAUAUACAAAAUUUAACAAAACAAGAACACUAAUAACACUGUCAAUCUUCUCAUUUCUUGAUAACAAUAUACAAAAUUUAGCAAAACAAGAACACUAUCAAUCUUCUCAUUUUUUGAUAACAAUAAAGAAAAUUUAGCAAAACAAGAACACUAAUAACACUAUCCAUCCUUUCAUUUCUUGAUAACAAUAUACAAAAUUCAGCAAAACAAGAACCCUAAUAACACUAUCAAUCUUCUCAUUUCUUGAUAACAAUAUACAAAAUUCAGCAAAACAAGAACACUAAUAACAGUAUCAAUCCUCUCAUUUCUUGAUUACAAUAUACAAAAUUUAGCAAAACAAGAACAUUAAUAACAUUAUCAAUCUUCUCAUUUCUUGAUAACAAUAUACAAAAUUUAGCGAAACAAGAACACUACUAACACUAAAUCAAUCUUCUCAUUUCUUUUAAUAAACAAUAUACAAAAUUUAGCAAAACAAGAACACUAAUAACAUCUAAUCAAAUCUUCUCAAUUUCUGAUGUAACAAUAUACAAAAUUUAGCAAACCAAGAACAUAAUAACACUAUCAAUCUCUCAUCAUUUCUUGAUAAACAAUAUACAAAUUUUAUGCAAAACAAGAAACACUAAUAAACACUAUCAAUCUUUCCAUUUCUUGAUAACAAUAUACAAAAUUUAGCGAAACAAGAACAAUAAUAACACUACACAAUCUUUAUUCUGAAUAAACAAUAUACAAAAUUUAGCAAAACAAGAACCAUCUAAUAAGCAUUCUAUCAAAUCUUCUCAUUUCUUGAUAACAAUAUACAAAAUUUAGCAAACUAGAUACACUAAUACACUAUCAAUCUUUCUCAUUUCUUUGAUAACAAUAUAUCUACUAAAUAUUAGCAAAAACAAGAACACUAAUAACAAAUGUAUCAAUCCUCUCAUUUCUUAAUAACAAUCUAAAUAAAAUUUAGCAAACAAGACAAUAACACUUCAAUCCUCUCAUUCUGAUAACAAACAUAUAACAAACAAACACUAAUCACUAUCAAUCUUCUGCAUUUCUUGAUGAACAUAUACAAAAUUUUAGCAAAACAAGACACUAAUAACACAUAUCAAUCUUCUCAUUUUUGAUAACAAUAUACAAAUUAAAAAAAACCAAGAACACUAAUAACACUAUCAAUCUUCUCAUUUCUUAUAACAAUGAUACUAAAAUUUAGCAAAACAAGAACACUAAUAACACAUAUCAAUCUUCUGACUUUCUUGAUAACAAUAUAAAAAAAUUUAGCAGAAACAGAACACUAAUAAACUAUCAAUCUUCUCAUUUUCCUUAAUAACAAUAUACAAAUUUAAAAACAAGAACACUAAAUAACACUAUCAAUCUUCAUUUCUUGAUAAACAAUAUCAAAAUUAGCAAAACAACAUUAAUAACACUAGUCAUCUCUCAUUUCUUGAUACAAUAUACAAAUUUAGAAAAACAAGAACACUAUACACUAUCAUCUUCUCAAAUUUUCUUGAUAACAAUAUACAGAAAUUUAGCCAAUAACAAGAACACUAAUAACACUAUCAUCUCUCAUUUCUUGAUACAAUAUAUCAAAAUUCGCAAUACAAAGAAACUAUAACACUAUCAACUUCUCAUUCUUGAUAACAAUAUACAAAUUAGGCAAACACAAAACACUAAUAACACCUAUCAAUCUCUCAUUUCUUGAUAACAUAUACAAAAUUUAGCAAAACAAGAACAUAUAACAUUAUCCAUCUUCUCAUUUCUUGAUAACAAUAUACAAAUUUACGAAACAAGAACACUAAUAACACUAUCAAUCUUCCUCAUUUUUGAAUCAACAAUAUACAAAAUUUAGCAAAACAAGAAACUAAUAACACUAUCAAUCUUUCUCAUUUCUUGAUAAAAUAUACAAUUUAGCAAAAACAGAAGCACUAAUAACACUAUCAAUUGUCCUCAUUUUCUUUGAUAACAAAUACAAAAUUUAGCAAAAACAAGAACACUAUAACACUAUCAAUCUUCCAUUUCUUGAUAACAAAUACAAAUUUAGCAAAACAAGAACAAUAAUAACACUUCAAUCUUCUUUCCUUGAUAACAAUAUACAAAAUCUAGCAAAAAAGAACACUAAUAACACUAUCAAUCUUCUGUUCUUUUGAUAACAAUAUACAAAUUUGCAAAACAGAGAACACUAAUAACACUUCAUCUUCUCAUUUUUCAUAACAAUAUACAAAUUUACAAACAAGAACAUAAUAACAUAUCUAUCUUCUCAAUUUUCUUUGAUAACAAUAUACAAAUUUAGCAAAACAAGAACAUAAUAACACUAUCAAUCUUCUCAUUUCUGAUAACAAUAUACAAAAUUUAGCAAAACAAGAACAAAUAACAUAUCAAUCUUCUAUUUCUUGAUAACAAUAUACAAAUUUAGCAAAACAAGAACACUAAUAACACAAAUCUUCUCAUUCUUGAUAAAUAUACAAAAUUUAGCAAAACAAGAAACACUAAUAACAUUAUCAAUUCUCUCAUUUCUUAAUAACAAUACAUAAUUUAGCAAACAAGAACAUAAUAACACUGCUUCAUCUCUCAUUCUUGAUAACAAUAUACAAAAUAUAGCAAAACCAGAAACACUAAUACACUCAUCAAUCUUCUCAUUUCUUGAUAACAAUAUACAAAAUUUGCAACAGAACAUAAUACACUAUCAAUCUUCUCAUUUCUUGAUUAACAUAUACAAAAUUUAAAAAAAAACAAGAACACUAAUAACACUAUAUCUCUCAUUUCUUGAUAACAAUAAUACAAAAUUUAGCAAAACAAGACACUAAUAACAUUCAAUCUUCUCAUUUCUUGAUAAACAAUAUAAAAAAUUUAGCAAAACAAGAACAUAAUAACUAUCAAUCUUCUCAUUUCUUAAACAAUAUACAAAAUUUAGAAAAACAGAACACUAAUAACAUAUCAUCUUCUCAUUUCUUGAUAACAAUAUACAAAUUUAGCAACAAGAACACUAAUAACACUUCAAUCUUCUCAUUUUUGAUAACAAUAUACAAAAUUUAGCAAAACAAGAACACUAUCAAUCUUCUCAUUUUUGAUAACAAUAUACAAAAUUUAGCAAAACAAGAACACUAAUAACACUAUCAUCUCUCAUUUCUGAUAACAAUAUACAAAAUUCAGAACAAACAAGAAGCUUCAUUCUUGAUAACAACUAUCAUUCCAACAAGACAUAUCAUUCCAUGUCUGAUAAAUGAAAAUUUCUAAGCAAAUCAAGACACAAUAAACAUCCACUACAUUUGAACAAUUUUACGAACAAGAAAUGAUACACUCUCCAAUUCUCAUUCUGAUAACAAUAUACAAAUUUAGAAAACAAGAACUUAUCAAUCCUCUCAUUUCUUGAUAACAAUAUACAUAAUUUAGCAAAACAAGAACACUAAUAACACUAUCAAUCUUCUCAUUUCUUGAUAACAAUAUACAAAAUUUAGAAAAACAAGAACACUAAUAACACUAUCAAUCUUCACAUUUCUUGAUAACAAUAUACAUAAUUUAGCAAAACAAGAACAAUAAUAACACUCUCAGUCCUCUUUUUUCUUGAUAAUAAUAUACAAAAUUUAACAAAAGAAGAACACUAAUAACACUAUCAAUCUUCUGAUUUCUUGAUAACACUAUACAAAAUUUAGCAAAACAAGAACACUAAUAACACUGUCAAUCUUCUCAUUUCUUGAUAACAAUAUACAAAAUUUAGCAAAACAAGAACACUAUUAAUCUUCUCAUUUUUUGAUAACAAUUUACAAAAUUUAGCAAAACAAGAACACUAAUAACACUAUCCAUCCUCUCAUUUCUUGAUAACAAUAUACAAAAUUCAGCAAAACAAGAACCCUAAUAACACUAUCAAUCUUCUCAUUUCUUGAUAACAAAAUUUAGCACAAACAAGAACACUAAUAAACACUAUCAAUCUUUCUUGAUAACAAUAUACAAAAUUCAGCAAAACAAGAACACUAAUAACACUAUCAAUCUUCUCAUUUCUUGAUAACAAUAUACAAAAUUCAGCAAAACAAGAACACUAAUAACACUAUCAAUCCUGUCAUUUCUUGAUAACAAUAUACAAAAUUUAGCAAACCAAGAACAUUAAUAACAUUAUCAAUCUUCUCAUUUCUUGAUAACAAUAUACAAAAUUUAGCAAAAUAAGAACACUAAUAACACUAUCAAUCUUCUUAUUUCUUGAUAACAAUAUACAAAAUUUAGCAAAGCAAGAACACUAAUAACACUAUCAAUCUUCUCAUUUCUUGAUAACAAAAUAGAAAAUUUAGCAAAACAAGAACACUAAUAACAAUAUCAAUCCUCUCAUUUCUUGAUAACAAUAUACAUAAUUUAGCUAAACAAGAACACUAUCAAUCUUCUCAUUUCUUGAUAACAAUAUACAAAAUUUAGCAAAACAAGAACACUAAUAACACUAUCAAUCCUCUCAUUUCUUAAUAACAAUAUACAAAAUUCAGCAAAACAAGAACCCUAAUAACACUAUCAAUCUUCUCAUUUCUUGAUAACAAUAUACAAAAUUCAGCAAAACAAGAACACUAAUAACACUAUCAAUCCUCUCAUUUCUUGAUAACAAUAUAAAA